rnacentral:rRNA from 1 species
UACGAAGGGGGCUAGCGUUGUUCGGAUUCACUGGGCGUAAAGGGUGCGUAGGUGGUUGGGUAAGUCUGAUGUGAAAUCUCCGGGCUCAACCCGGAAAUGGCAUUGGAUACUAUUCGGCUAGAGGUUUGGAGGGGGGACUGGAAUUCUCGGUGUAGCAGUGAAAUGCGUAGAUAUCGAGAGGAGCACCAGUGGCGAAGGCGAGUCCCUGGACAACACCUGACACUGAGGCACGAAAGCUAGGGGAGCAAACAGG